GACAACAAUAGAGGAAUUUUGGGAGAAAAAGGAAAACUUCCAACUUGGAGUAGUUGGACAAAAACAGAUAGUGCUAUUAUAGAUAGUUGAAGAUGACACCCUGAUCCUUUAAAGAAGCCACUGGCGGAAAUAUAUCUUGACUGGAACCAUUAUUAAAGUUUAAUCUUGUGUUACCAUGUUCCAAAUCAGAGAUCUGUCUAAUAACCACAUACCGGUAAUCCCCAGAACUGAAUCUGAAGGAAUGGAGGAUUGCAUAUGUUAUGUAUUUUUUUGGAUGAUAUAGACAGUUAAUACAUGUAUGUGCCCAAUUAAAUCACAGGCAAAACUUGGACUUGCUUGGACUUUUUGUAUUGUUUUUGAGCCUCACUUGUGUAUAAACUGAAUAUUAAAUGAUCUAAUAUAAUGACUUUUGAAAAAUUAUGAAAA